CAUUGCAGGUUCGACCCCUGCCAGCCCAACCAAUGGGUGAGCCGGGCACAGGAUAAGCUCGGAGGGCGGGACG
rnacentral:sRNA from 1 species